rnacentral:piRNA from 1 species
AUGCUUAAAGGACUCAGCACACAGC